rnacentral:rRNA from 1 species
AAAUUGAAGAGUUUGAUCAUGGCUCAGAUUGAACGCUGGCGGCAGGCCUAACACAUGCAAGUCGAACGGUAACAGAAAGCAGCUUGCUGCUUUGCUGACGAGUGGCGGACGGGUGAGUAAUGUCUGGGAAACUGCCUGAUGGAGGGGGAUAACUACUGGAAACGGUAGCUAAUACCGCAUAACGUCGCAAGACCAAAGAGGGGGACCUUAGGGCCUCUUGCCAUCGGAUGUGCCCAGAUGGGAUUAGCUAGUAGGUGGGGU